CCUACGGGAGGCAGCAGUGGGGAAUCUUGCACAAUGGAGGAAACUCUGAUGCAGCGAUGCCGCGUGAGUGAAGAAGGCCCUUGGGUUGUAAAGCUCUUUCGUCGGGGAAGAAAAUGACUGUACCCGAAUAAGAAGGUCCGGCUAACUUCGUGCCAGCAGCCGCGGUAA
rnacentral:rRNA from 1 species